AGGAAGUAAAAGUCGUAACAAGGUUUCCGUAGGUGAMCCUGCGGAAGGAUAUUAUUGAAUAAAUCUGAGCAGGCUGUUGCUGGUCUUUUGACAGGUGCACGCUUGUCCUCUUUAUUUUUCCAACUGUGCACAUAUUGUAGAUCUGGAGUUUUUUUUAUUGCUUCAAAUAGAUUGAGGAGUUGCUGCAAAGUCAGCUUCACCUUGUAUUUUCCAGGUCUAUGCUUACACAUUUUCACAAUGUUAUAGAAUGUAUUGAGUAUUUUGAAUAACAAAUAUACAACUUUCAGCAACGGAUCUCUUGGCUCUCGCAUCGAUGAAGAACGCAGCGAAAUGCGAUAAGUAAUGUGAAUUGCAGAAUUCAGUGAAUCAUCGAAUCUUUGAACGCAUCUUGCGCUCCUUGGUAUUCCGAGGAGCAUGCCUGUUUGAGUGUCAUGAAGUUCUCAACCACCAUGUUUUGUGUGUGUGGCUUGGAUUUGGGGGUUAUUGUUUUGCUGGCUUCAUUUAGUCAGCUCCCCUGAAAAGCAUUAGUGGUAUCUGAGCAAAAACUACUAUAGGUGUGAUAACUAUCUAUGCCUUGGUAAAUGAUGCAUGAACAGACUACACUGCUUGCAAACUUUUGAAAUUGACACAUUUGACCUCMAAUCAGGUAGGACUACCCGCUGAACUUAAGCAUAUCAUA
rnacentral:rRNA from 1 species